AUGCUGGCAUUCCGGGAUACUCUGGAAAUAUGUGGUCUUGUUGAUUUGGGGUUCGUGGGUAUCCCUUUUACAUAUGAUAACAAGAGGGGAGGGGCCGGCAAUGUCCAGGUCCGUUUGGACCGAGCUGUGGCAACGAAUGAGUGGAGGAACCUUUUUUCCUUCACCUCGGUAGUUCAUGUACCUUCACCAUGCUCUGAUCAUGUUGCGGUGGUACUAAAAGCUUCAUCUGACCAAGGGCCGCAAGGUGGCAAACAGAGACGCUAUGAAUUGUUUUGGGAGAGAGAUGAUGCGCUCCCGGAGGUAAUCAGAGAGGCUUGGGAAUCACUUGGUAAUGUUCAUAACCUAGCACAGCUCCGGGAUGCUUUGUCAAGGACAAUAAGUACUUUGGGUAUGUGGAGU
rnacentral:rRNA from 1 species